rnacentral:lncRNA from 1 species
AAUUACUUGAGUACCAUAAUGACUCUAGAUACAACCAUUUUUAUCUAUUUUUAUGACAAGUAGUUCUGAACGGAUGAAGUACAAGAGUUCUGGUUAACAUACAUAAAGCUUAAGCGAAUUUUUUUGCCAUCUAAACAUGCUCGCUGCAGUGGCUACCGGGAGCAGCGCGCAGCUGUCUGGUUGCUAGUUUGAUUUCCUUCAAGCGCAUUUGUCAUGUUAUUUUCGCUAAAGCCCUGAUAGGUGGGUCCACUAGUCACAUAAACAUGUAGUAUUCAAGUAACUGUCACAUCAGCCCUAAGUGCCCCAUGCCAUGUUAGUAUCACAUCAGCCAUAUAAGGUGCCACAUUGACACACUUUACGAUUACAGAUGGAAACAACACCGCAUUUGCAUGGUCGUGCCAAGUUUUAGAACCACUUGAAUGCAUUUUUCUAAUUCAGGCCCUAAAAUGAACAUAUGUGGCAAGUUGAACCACAAAGGAUGUAUUUACCUCAAAAUAUAAUGAGGGGAUCGGGUAGUAACUUCUUACAUGA